rnacentral:rRNA from 1 species
GCACCUGAUGAUGGGCGUGCGGCUGAUUAGGUAGUUGGCGGGGUAACGGCCCACCAAGCCAGCGAUCAGUAGCUGAUGUGAGAGCAUGAUCAGCCACACGGGCACUGAGACACGGGCCCG